GAUGAACGCUGGCGGCGUGCCUAAUACAUGCAAGUAGAACGCUGAAGGAAGGAGCUUGCUCUUUCCGGAUGAGUUGCGAACGGGUGAGUAACGCGUAGGUAACCUGCCUGGUAGCGGGGGAUAACUAUUGGAAACGAUAGCUAAUACCGCAUAACAGUAGAUGUUGCAUGAUAUCUACUUAAAAGGUGCAAUUGCACCACUACCAGAUGGACCUGCGUUGUAUUAGCUAGUUGGUGAGGUAACGGCUCACCAAGGCGACGAUACAUAGCCGACCUGAGAGGGUGAUCGGCCACACCGGGACUGAGAAACGGCCCAGACUCCUACGGGAGGCAGCAGUAGGGAAUCUUCGGCAAUGGACGGAAGUCUGACCGAGCAACGCCGCGUGAGUGAAGAAGGUUUUCGGAUCGUAAAGCUCUGUUGUAAGAGAAGAACGAGUGUGAGAGUGGAAAGUUCACAAUGUGACGGUAUCUUACCAGAAAGGGACGGCUAACUACGUG
rnacentral:rRNA from 1 species